rnacentral:rRNA from 1 species
AGGGGAACAACAGCUGUAAACGGCUGCUAAUACCCCAUAGGCUGAGGAGCAAAAGGAGGAAUCCGCCCAAGGAGGGGCUCGCGUCUGAUUAGUUAGUUGGUGAGGCAAUGGCUUACCAAGGCGACGAUCAGUACCUGGUCCGAGAGGAUGAUCAGCCACACUGGGACUGAGACACGGCCCUCACUCCUACGGGAGGCAGCAGUGGGGAAUUUUCCGCAAUGGGCGAAAGCCUGACGGAGCAAUGCCGCGUGAAGGCAGAAGGCCCACGGGUCAUGAACUUCUUUUCUCGGAGAAGAAAAAAUGACGGUAUCUGAGGAAUAACCCUCGGCUAACUCUGUGCAAGCAGCCGCGGUAAGACAGAGGAUGCAAGCGUUAUCCGGAAUGAU